AACGAACGCUGGCGGCAUGCCUAACACAUGCAAGUCGAACGAGACCUUCGUGUCUAGUGGCGCACGAGUGCGUAACGCGUGGGAACCUGCCCUUAGGUUCGGAAUAACCCCCCGAAGGGGGUGCUAAUACCGGAUAAUGUCUUCGGACCAAAGAUUUAUCGCCUUUUGAUGGGCCCGCGUUGGAUUAGCUAGUUGGUAGGGUAAAAGCCUACCAAGGCGACGAUCCAUAGCUGGUCGGAGAGGAUGAUCAGCCACACUGGGACUGAGACACGGCCCAGAAUCCGACGGGAGGCAGCAGUGGGGAAUAUUGGAGACUGGGCGCAAGCCUGAUCCAGCAAUGCCGCGGGAGUGAUGAAGGCCUUAGGGUUGUACAGCUCUUUUACCCGGGAUGAUAAUGACAGUAACGGGAGAAUAAGCUCCGGCUAACUCCGUG
rnacentral:rRNA from 1 species